rnacentral:sRNA from 1 species
UCUUCUUAAAAAAAGGAUGAGAAGCUUCGACCAAGGUUCGACUCGAGCGAAGCGAGAGAACGUUGCCGCAGGCAACGGCCCGAAGGGCGAAGCGCUUUAGCGCCGAGUAAUCCUUCCCCCACCA